AAGCCAGCCAAUGAGUCUGCUUACCUGCACGUGCUUCUGCAAAAAUGUUAAAACGUUGGCAAUAGUAAAGGCACGUUAUGAGCCUUAAAGACAUUGACGUCACUCAGGUCCCUGGAAAUGGCUAUAAGG